GACGAACGCUGGCGGCGUGCUUAAUACAUGCAAGUCGAACGGAGUGGCGAACGGGUGAGUAACACGUGGGUGAUCUGCCUUGCACUCCGGGAUAAGCUUGGGAAACUGGGUCUAAUACCGGAUAGUGCAAGAUGUGCGCGUGGCCUAUCAGCUCGUUGGCGGGGUAAUGGCCUACCAAGGCGUCGACGGGUAGCCGGCCUGCGAGGGGGUACGGCCACAAGGGGACUGCGAUACGGCCCAGGCUCCAACGGGAGGCAGCAGUGGGGAAUAUUGCACAAUGGGCGGAAGCCAGAUACAGCGGCGCCGCGUGGGGGAUGAAGGCCUUCGAGUUGUGAACUCCUUUCGACGGAGACGCGGUACCUAAAUAGGAAGCACCGGCUAACUACGGGCCAGCAGCCGCGGUAAUAG
rnacentral:rRNA from 1 species